rnacentral:rRNA from 1 species
AUUGAACGCUGGCGGCAUGCUUUACACAUGCAAGUCGAACGGUAACAGGCCGCAAGGUGCUGACGAGUGGCGCACGGGUGAGUAAUGCAUCGGAACGUGCCCAGUCGUGGGGGAUAACUACUCGAAAGAGUAGCUAAUACCGCAUACGAUCUAUGGAUGAAAGCGGGGGACCGUAAGGCCUCGCGCGAUUGGAGCGGCCGAUGUCAGAUUAGGUAGUUGGUGGGGUAAAGGCUCACCAAGCCAACGAUCUGUAGCUGGUCUGAGAGGACGACCAGCCACACUGGGACUGAGACACGGCCCAGACUCCUACGGGAGGCAGCAGUGGGGAAUUUUGGACAAUGGGCGCAAGCCUGAUCCAGCAAUGCCGCGUGCAGGAAGAAGGCCUUCGGGUUGUAAACUGCUUUUGUACGGAACGAAACGGCUCUGGUUAAUACCCGGGGCUAAUGACGGUACCGUAAGAAUAAGCACCGGCUAACCACGUG